AGUGAACGCUGGCGGUAGGCCUAACACAUGCAAGUCGAACGGCAGCACAGUAAGAGCUUGCUCUUACGGGUGGCGAGUGGCGGACGGGUGAGGAAUACAUCGGAAUCUACUUUUUCGUGGGGGAUAACGUAGGGAAACUUACGCUAAUACCGCAUACGACCUACGGGUGAAAGCAGGGGAUCUUCGGACCUUGCGCGAUUGAAUGAGCCGAUGUCGGAUUAGCUAGUUGGCGGGGUAAAGGCCCACCAAGGCGACGAUCCGUAGCUGGUCUGAGAGGAUGAUCAGCCACACUGGAACUGAGACACGGUCCAGACUCCUACGGGAGGCAGCAGUGGGGAAUAUUGGGCAAUGGGCGCAAGCCUGAUCCAGCCAUACCGCGUGGGUGAAGAAGGCCUUCGGGUUGUAAAGCCCUUUUGUUGGGAAAGAAAAGCAGCAGGUUAAUACCCCGCUGUUCUGACGGUACCCAAGGAAUAAGCACCGGCUAACUUCGUG
rnacentral:rRNA from 1 species